AGAUUGAACGCUGGCGGCAGGCCUAACACAUGCAAGUCGAGCGGUAGAGAGGUGCUUGCAUCUCUUGAGAGCGGCGGACGGGUGAGUAAUGCCUAGGAAUCUGCCUAGUGGUGGGGGAUAACGUUCGGAAACGGACGCUAAUACCGCAUACGUCCUACGGGAGAAAGUGGGGGAUCUUCGGACCUCACGCUAUCAGAUGAGCCUAGGUCGGAUUAGCUAGUUGGUAGGGUAAAGGCCUACCAAGGCUACGAUCCGUAACUGGUCUGGGAGGAUGAUCAGUCACACUGGAACUGAGACACGGUCCAGACUCCUACGGGAGCAGCAGUGGGAAUAUUGGACAAGUGGGACGAAAGCCUGAUCCAGCAAUGCCGCGUGAGUGAGUGAAGGUCGUUAGGUAGUAAGCUUCGUUUACCGGAAGUAUAA
rnacentral:rRNA from 1 species